GGCGGAAGCAGCGAAGGACUUCAGGAAGGCCCAAGAGACGGAGUGGAGAGAGCGAGCAGCAGUGAGGCAGGUUCUUUACAACUAGCACCACCUGGGAAGCCCUCCUGGGAAGUCUGUGGAUAGGAAGACAUCAAAUCCUAAAGAAGUCAAUUGUCUCCAAAGUAAUCUGUGAAUCAAAGAGAAUUUAGGACUGCUACUUGAUGAAGACCAAGAAAAUGACAAAAGUGAGAGGACCCAAGGACACAAGAGGUCAUUUGAUACGGUGCUAUUUCCAGAAAACAAGCCACCAUUAUUAAGUAUUUAAAAGUAUUAUUUACAAUAGCCAGCUGGGGACUUCCCUGGUGGUCCAGUGGUUAAGAAUCUGUGCUUCUAUUACAGGAUC